rfam:Erinaceus europaeus unplaced genomic scaffold scaffold00466, whole genome shotgun sequence
CAGCAUGUUUCCAAGGUUUAGGACUAGUAGUAGCCAUGGGAUCUCCAACUGAAUGCAAGAAUAACUUGGAGAGACUUUGACAGAACACUUCAGCAUAAUAUGUGUAGCUGUCACUCACCUCUCCUGUAUUU